CUUUGAGGGAGCGAGACUCUCGCGGCUCAACUCGUCAGAUCCGGAAGGAAGCAGCGAAAGCCACGCGAGUUUGUGUUCCCUCAUUUUUU
rnacentral:SRP_RNA from 1 species